rnacentral:rRNA from 1 species
ACCGGUGGAACGAGCGGNGGACGGGUGAGUAACACGUGGGCAACCUGCCGGACUGAUGGGAAUAACCCCGGGAAACCGGGGCUAAUGCCCAAUACGCCCUGACCUCGCCUGAGGUCAGCGGUAAAGCAGGGAUCUUCGGAUCCUUGCACAGUCCGAUGGGCCCGCGGCGCAUUAGCUAGUUGGAGAGGUAAGGGCUCCCCAAGGCGACGAUGCGUAGCCGACCUGAGAGGGUGAUCGGCCACACUGGGACUGAGACACGGCCCAGACUCCUACGGGAGGCAGCAGUAGGGAAUCAUCCGCAAUGGGCGAAAGCCUGACGGUGCAACGCCGCGUGAGUGAUGAAGGUUUUCGGAUCGUAAAGCUCUGUUGACAGGGAAGAACCCACGCCAGUCGAACAGGCUGGCGUGCUGACGGUACCUGUCCAGAAAGCCCCGGCUAACUACGUGCCAGCAGCCGCGGUAAUACGUAGGGGGCAAGCGUUGUCCGGAAUUAUUGGGCGUAAAGGGCACGCAGGCGGUUUCGUCAGUCCGAUGUGACAGGCCACGGCUCAACCGUGGAAGGCCAUUGGAAACUGCGAAACUUGAGGACAGAAGAGGAGAGUGGAAUUCCACGUGUAGCGGUGAAAUGCGUAGAUAUGUGGAGGAACACCAGUGGCGAAGGCGACUCUCUGGUCUGUACCUGACGCUGAGGUGCGAAAGCAUGGGGAGCAAACAGGAUUAGAUACCCUGGUAGUCCAUGCCGUAAACGCUGAGUGCUAGGUGUUAGGGGUUUCGAUACCCGUAGUGCCGAAGCUAACGCAUUAAGCACUCCGCCUGGGGAGUACGACCGCAAGGUUGAAACUCAAAGGAAUUGACGGGGGCCCGCACAAGCGGUGGAGCAUGUGGUUUAAUUCGACGCAACGCGAAGAACCUUACCAGAUCUUGACAUCUUCCGCUACGCCUCGAGAGAGGCGGUUCCCCUUCGGGGGACGGAAUGACAGGUGGUGCAUGGUUGUCGUCAGCUCGUGUCGUGAGAUGUUGGGUUAAGUCCCGCAACGAGCGCAACCCC